UGAGGAAUCUUGCGCAAUGGAGGCAACUCUGACGCAGCCACGCCGCGUGAAGGAAGACGGCCCUACGGGUUGUAAACUUCUUUUGUUGGGGAAGACCGCUGGGGUUUCGACCCGAGUAGACGGUACCCGGCGAAUAAGCACCGGCUAACUCCGUGCCAGCAGCCGCGGUAAUACGGAGGGUGCGAGCGUUGUCCGGAAUCAUUGGGUGUAAAGGGUGCGUAGGCGGGUGUCUAAGUCUGGGGUGAAAUCUUGCCGCUCAACGGUAAAAUUGCCUUGGAUACUGGGCAUCUUGAGUACAGGAGAGGUUGGUAGAAUUCGUGGUGUAGCGGUGAAAUGCAUAGAGAUCACGAAGAAUACCGGUGGCGAAGGCGGCCAACUGGACUGUAACUGACGCUGAGGCACGAGAGCGUGGGGAGCGAACA
rnacentral:rRNA from 1 species